CUUUACACUUGGAUCGGGUGCAAAUCCCCGUGACAAAAGUUUUUGGCAUGCCCGGUGGGAUUGUUGAACUUUUCUAAGUUCAUAGAAGGCGACCCUAGCUGCUGCUUUGGUGUGAGCAACAAUGAUUCCAACCUUUAGAGGCAAGUGUUAAUCAUCACACCUAGCGACUUGAGGUUCAAAUCUUCUGGUUUCAAAGAUCAAGUGCUGGUUAUGUCACCCGUGGCUGAGAUUUCUCCUUUGUAAAGGAUAUUCUCGAGGAUGCCUAAUCAGAAAAAGGCAUCUACAAAGUCACACAAUACUUCAAAGAAGCUCAAUUUUAAUGAUCCACCACAAUUAUAGGAUAUUUUAGAGUUAUAAACUAUUAGUUGUGUCCAUUGUAUAUCGAUCUUGAGAUGGCAUUUAUGCCAUAGCUUUGUAAAACUUGUAUUGAUAUAUAACAUAUGUCAUUUUUGUACAUUUUAAUGACUUGGAACAUAUGCUAUUUUGUACAUUUUAU